UCCCUCAUAGCUCAAUCAGUAAAGAAUCUGCCUGCAAUGCAGGAGACCCAGGUUCGAUUUCUGGGUCAGGAAG
rfam:Ovis aries breed Texel chromosome 3, whole genome shotgun sequence.